GGCGGCAUGCUUUACACAUGCAAGUCGAGCGGCAGCGCGGGGGCAACCCUGGCGGCGAGCGGCGAACGGGUGAGUAAUGUAUCGGAACGUAUCCUGUAAUGGGGGAUAACCAGUCGAAAGAUUGGGUAAUACCGCAUACGCACGAGAGUGGAAAGUAGGGGAUCGCAAGACCUUACGUUAUAGGAGCGGCCGAUAUCUGAUUAGCUAGUUGGUGGGGUAAAGGCCUACCAAGGCGACGAUCAGUAGCUGGUCUGAGAGGACGACCAGCCACACUGGGACUGAGACACGGCCCAGACUCCUACGGGAGGCAGCAGUGGGGAAUUUUGGACAAUGGGCGAAAGCCUGAUCCAGCCAUGCCGCGUGCAGGAAGAAGGCCUUCGGGUUGUAAACUGCUUUAGUCUAGGAAAAAGGGGUGCGAGGUUAAUACCCUCGUGCUUUGAUGGUACUGGAAGAAUAAGCACCGGCUAACUACGUGCCAGCAGCCGCGGUAAUACGUAGGGUGCGAGCGUUAAUCGGAAUUACUGGGCGUAAAGCGUGCGCAGGCGGUCUUGUAAGACAGUCGUGAAAUCCCUGGGCUUAACCUAGGAACUGCGAUUGUGACUGCAAGGCUAGAGUGUGUCAGAGGGGGGUGGAAUUCCACGUGUAGCAGUGAAAUGCGUAGAGAUGUGGAGGAACACCGAUGGCGAAGGCAGC
rnacentral:rRNA from 1 species